AUUGAAGGUGGCGGACGUGUUUGUCCUCUGCAGGCGGGUCUGUUGUGGCUGCAGUAAAUCUGUGUUGUUUUUGUGGUGAAGAGCUGCUUUUACUGAGGAAAGCUCUUCAGAGGCGCUGCAGGCGGAGCCAAGCGGAGCCUCAGAGCAGCUUUUGUCCUGCAGGCGUUUCCCACCGACUGUUUACGGCCUCCCUGCAUGUCGGGACUGUUUAUGAGCUCCAAACCAGCCCAACCUGCCGCGACCUCCCAACGAAGAGUCGCUCAGAACAUUCAGAAUAAUCACACCAUCGGUUUGUUUAAAGCAGCUGGGUUUUCUGCAUCGUCCUGCAUUCUCAAUUUCCAGCUCUCAGGUUGCUUCUGUCCCGCAGCUUUCCCCUUUUCAACCGUCUGUCAGGAUCCUCAUCCUCUCCAAACCUCGCCAAUCACAUAAAUCUCACAGUCGGCGUCCUCGCUAGGAUGGAAAAUCUCUUCCAGAGCGACGUGAGCUUCGGUUUGAGACUUCGCUUCGACACAAAGGAGAGAUUUAGCCGAGAGAUGCUGGCGACAGAAACUCUCCUGCUGGGAAGAAAACAUUCAGCGAGGAGAUAAACAAGCUGCAAGAUGCAAAACCACAGACGGGAAGAAGCCUGGCGAAAAGAUUCACAGCUUCAGCAUCAGGAGAAGCUUCUACCGUAAUUUAGCAGAGAAAAGCUGAGCUGAGGUCAGAUUUAAAAGACCACAGCAGCAUUUAUUCAGUUUGGUUUCUACAAAUCAGCCACAUUUUAUUACAUUUUGUUGGUUUCUUUUCUCUUCCAGAACUGAAACAUGCAACAUCACUUAAAUAGUAAUCAAUAACUGCAUUAUUUUUACGUUGAGCAGGAGAUUAUUUCCUUUUAAAAACAAUCAAAUAACCAUCAAAAGGCUAGAUUAAAAAUUCAGAGCCAGACAACCAAACUUUAUGAACGUGGUUCUAAAAUCUUAACUUCGUUUUAUGGACUGUGACUAUUUGUGUCUGCAUCAUGGCUCCACAUGGAAAGACCUGAAACAUCCAAAGUAUUUUAAAAAUGUGUCCAAACUGACUCAAAAUAUGUCCAAAACAAGAAAAAAUGGUCCAAAUAUCACUUAAAAGUAUCUCAAAAUCACGCAAACUUCCUCCAACAUGACUUGAGAUUUGUCGAAAAUAACAAAAAAACAAUUUAAAGUAGCUCAAAAUUUGUCUAAAACAACUCCGAAUGUUCCCAAAUUUACUCAGAACGUGUCCAAAAUGACUUCACAGAGUAGAACUGCAAGAGGAACUGAAAAAUCCGAUUGAUAGACUUCACAAAAAUGGAAAAAGAUUCAACAGAUCAAUUAAAAAUCAGUGAAACACAGAGUCAGCAACAAUCAGGAGGUCAAGAAGGAGUCAUAGUUCCACUGAUCAGAGGUCUAGAAGGAGUCAUAGUACCACUAAUCAGAGGUAUAGAAGGAGUCAUAGUUCCACUAAUCAGGAGGUCUAGAAGGAGUCAUAGUUCCACUAAUCAGAGGUCUAGAAGGAGUCAUAGUACCACUAAUCAGAGGUCUAGAAGGAGUCACAGUUCCACUAAUCAGAGGUAUAGAAGGAGUCAUAGUUCCACUAAUCAGGAGGUCUAGAAGGAGUCAUAGUUCCACUAAUCAGGAGGUCUAGAAGGAGUCAUAGUUCCACUAAUCAGGAGGUCUAGAAGGAGUCAUAGUUCCACUAAUCAGGAGGUCUAGAAGGAGUCAUAGUUCCACUAAUCAGGAGGUCUAGAAGGAGUCAUAGUUCCACUGAUCAGGAUAGUACCAUAGUAUCAUGGCUGCAGUGUAUUGUCCAUAUUUCCAGUCUUCUUUGUCUUUACAUAUCUUGGACUAUUUCAGACAAUAAAUAAAAAAUAGCUUUGAUUGAAGAUAGAAAACUAAUUCUCUGAACUCACUGUAGUUCAUUGGUUGAACAUAAUGUUAUUUUAAGUUGUAGUAACUCAAUAAACUGCUGCGUUCAGAGUCCAGUGUUUGGCCUCAGCUGCUCACUGAUGAAACCGAGGACAUUUUAUUAGGUGGAAAUGUGAAGAUUUUAGGGAUUUAAAGGGUUUAGCUGGAACCAAACAGCGACCUGGAAGGACAACCACCCUGAAAACUCUUAUUUCCCUGUUUUUCUUCCAGGCUUGGUCGGACUUGAGCCUCUCCAUCGUGUGGAUUCAGAGCUGUGAGCCAAAGCGGCGACAGAUUUAUAUUUCUCCAGCCUCCCGGCGGCUCCUCCCCCCGCCCGCCACUCUGAAUGGAUUCGCCCAAAGAGUCGGCGAUGCGAGACUAAUCAGGUCCCAUUCCAGUCCUGGGCACCGCCGAGGACGCCGGGCCCCGAGACCAACCAGAACCAGCAGGUGAUCCACACUGGAUGCAUUUUAAUUGGAGCACAAAGCAGAGCUGAGCAAGCCUUUUCUUUGGGGGGUUGUGAAAUGCAUCAACCUUCCUCCUCCUCCUCUGCAGGUUCGGAGGUAACAGCAGCCUUCAGACGCUGCUCAGGGUUUAGAACUCUCUGUGAAACUAGUGAAAGCUGCAACAAACACCAACAGUUUGACGCUCAGUGGCUCUGAAUUAUGAAUUCUGCCGUGGAAAUGUUGCUCCAGUCACUUCCUGCAGGUUAAAUAAAAGCACCAACGGCUUAAUUUCAUCAAGCUGCUUGGUGUCUUCCAGCUCAGGCAUCUCAUUUCCAAUCAUUUUCAGUAGAAAGUCUGCAGGAUUGAACCCUAACCUGCUGGAAAACCCUCAGAAACAGACUAAAGGGCAUCUUCUGAACUAACUUGUGUUUAAAUUAAUCUAAUUUAGGUAUAAAAUCUCAAAUAUGGAGGAAAAUUAUUACAAAUUAUGGUGUUAUUAUGAGAAACAAAGAAGUUAAUUGGCUAAAAAUGCAUUUUAGCUGGGGUUUUGGGGCAUUUUAAGGCAUUUUAAGUAAAGCUCUGACAUUAGUUAUCAGAAUAAUAAAUAUUCUCUGAAAUAAGGCUGCAAGUCAAGAAUAUUUUCACCGUCGAUUGAUCUUUCUUGAUUAAUUGAUCAGUUGUUUGGGCGAUAAAAUGUCAGAUAAAUAUCAGUUUACUGUAGCAGAGGGAGACAGAAAUGUUGAAAUCUGAGAAUAAAUGACUCAAAGUCAUCAAUAAUUCAGAUAGUUAUUGAUUAGUUUAAAGCUGAAAGCCAAUCAAUGAUCACAGCAGAUCUAUGCUGAAGUGGAGAAAUGAAUAUACUGUAAGAUAUUAGGGAUUUUUAGGAAAUAAUUUGCCUUAUUUUCUUCUGUUUUUGGGAGAAAAACAUGAAACCUGGAUAUUAAAAAUAUGUUUUCAUGACCUUAAAGCGAAAA